rnacentral:lncRNA from 1 species
CUGGAUUUACCAAAUAAAGAAGUGCGUUUCCUUACAAAUAUUGCUGGAAUUACCCAAACAAGGAAGUGUGUCUCUUUACAAAUGUUGCUAGAAUUACCAAAAUAAGGAAGUGCGUCUCCUUACAAAUGCCGCUUGAAUUACCAUGGGUUUGAAUACCAAAUAUGUGCAGCAACAUUGCCUCUUGCAUUUGUAGAAGUGAGAAUAUUACGGCCCUUGAUGUUUAGGCAUUGAAAUCCUUGAUUCGAAGGUAGAAUGUGUUCCUAUUUCAUACAAAGAAAACUUGUUAGUUUAAAAACAUGGUGGUUGGUUUGUGGCUUUGGCUUUUGUGGAAAUCGCUCUUGCCCCUGUCACAUUAAUCUUGCUUUCGACCAUUAGCAUAUGCCAUUGACUUGCUGCAUCAUUGAUCCAAACUCAAAUUAUUAAGAGUUCUUCUGAAACAAACACAGUAUCUUUGCUUUACCAUGCUUCUCAGAUAAACUCUUUGACCCUUCGUAUUUUCGUGAAUUCCCAAAAUUUUCUGUUGAAACAACUUUCUGCAUGCCUUAUUUCGGCUCACAAUCAUGUCUCUUUCAUGUGUUGGUCUUUUGUCUUGCUUUCUGCAAUUGAAGAAGCUUGUAGCCAGUUUUAAAAUCUUUUCUCUCUUGUUUCGACAUAGACUUGACUCAACAACAAGAGAAAAUGACAAUGACUUUUAUUUGGAUAACUGACUCAAGAAAGAUAAACAAAAUAAAGAGAAAAAAGAAAAGCUAAUGAAUGUCCCUAUUGAAACUAAGAAAUAAAAAUUUAUCUAAAAAUGACAGUCAACUCCAAAGAUUAUGCCAUGCAUUUUGGGUCAGGCUGCCUGAUCUUUCCAUCCAAACUUUCUACCAAUUGUUGUUGAGUUAAUGGCCUUGAAAAUGAGUUGUUUCCUUAGGUCAAUUACAUUUAAGACCUCGUUUGGCUAGUGGCGCCUUGGAGGGUUUUUUUUUCAACAAGCCUCUCUCAUUUUUUUCUAGCUCACCAUUGUCUUAUGGUGUCCGUGAGGGUUUUUCACCAAUGAGACUCUCUUAUUUUCAUUUGUCUCAACUCACCGUCGACUUACAGUGCCCAUGAGGAUUUUUGCCGAUAAGACUCUCUCAUUGUUAUCUCUCUCAGCUUACCAUUAUCUUACGGUGCCCGUGAGGGUUUUCACCUAUAAGACUCUCUCAUUUUCAUUUCUCUCCUGAUUCCUUAUGCCAAGAAAGACAAGUAGUUCCCAAAAUGCAUCAUCACAUUCAUUGCAUGCUUAGCCUUAACAUUCUCAAAGAUUGAUCUGAAGGUCUUUCUUUGGUUGUAACUUGGCUUUUGGAUAAGGUUAGAAAGGAUGAUUUGAGGCCCAAACGACACUUGAAGUGGGGUGGGACUUACAACUUUCGAAAUUGACUCAAACAAUGAGGAUCAACUCAUGCCCCAGUUUCUUUUGACUGGAAAAUACUAAAUUGUUUAUUUGGUUGGACCGAGCCCAGAGUAGGGAAGCCUACGUAUCUCACUCCUAAGAGAUGAGAAUCAAGUCACGCGUAGUUCUGGCAGCUUGUUGUUUCGCUUUGAUCUGAUUUUCCUUUUUUUUUUCUUUUAUUCGCUCUUUUCACUUUGCGAUUCUUUUUUCUUGACACUCUUUUUUUUUUUAGAAACAUUUUGUCUCUUUUUUGUAACUUUUUGACUUUAUCUUUUUACUUGACACUAUUCUUUGAACUUUGCUUACUCUAUCUUGAUUCCAAAAGAGGGUUAUGAAAGAAAAUAACACUAAGGCUCAAAUGGGGUAAACAAAGGAUGACACAAUGUUUGGAUAACAGAAUGAAAUGCAUUCAUCAUAUCAAUCCUUGAGAAUGCAAGUACAUAAUAUGCAAUUGGAAGUGAGAGAUGAAGAUCAUUUGCGACAUCUUUUUAAGCAGAUUGAGUUUGUCGUCACUACUUCUUCUGUAAACUCCACUUUUGUUGUACAUUCCUCACAUCAAAUGACUCAUGCUUUCGUGGAGCUUCUUAUCUUCUUGUUUCUCUUGAUAUAGGGAUCACACGUCCACUAUUUGACCUAAUUGGGACUUACCUUUCGUUCACGCCAUCUAAUCACGUACUCUUUGAAAGUUUCAGUACUCUUUUUCUUCAUAUUAGUUAAGGAUUUCUCGUCAGGAAUCAACUCCAUAUUGUAUUGAAAUUGUUGCACGAAUUCAUUAGUCAGGUCAUCCCAGCUAUUCUACUUGUCGGUGUCUUGGUCAACAAACCAUUCUGAAGCUAGACCUGAAAGACUCUCACCAAAAUAUGCCAUGAGUAAUUCUUCCCUCCCUCCAGCGCCCUUUAGAUGGUUGCAAUAGUUUCUCAAAUGUGCUACAGGAUCGCCAUGUCCAUCAUACUUCUCAAACUUCGGCAUUUUAAAACCAAGAGGAAGAUGUACACCUGGAAACAUGCACAGAUCUUUAUAUGAGACACUUUUGUUCCCCCCAAGUCCUUACAAGUUUUUCAUAGUCAGUUCCAAACUUCUCAAUUUUCUGGCUAUUUCCUCUUGUUCUUCUAUCAUAACAGGUUUCUCAGUGUUAGGAGAAAAUUCAGGCGAUUGAGGGCAAUCGUAAGGACCAGUCCACUUAAAUGUGGGCUUGAGAGCGUAAUGAUGAUCACUAAAAAUAUUCAAUACAGGGUCGCUUGAAGGGUGAGGAAUCACAACCAUUGGAUUGACAUUAAAAGCAGGAGCUUCAGACGGGAGUGGGGCUGCAAAAGCAUGAAUAACAGGCGAAGCCGAGCAUGUGGUAAUUUUGGAUUGAGGAGUGAGGAAAUGAAUAUUGGAAGUGUUUGGAUACUGUUGCCCCCGAGUAGGUCCUGAUGCAUGUUGUGGCGUGUCGAUCAAAAUAGGAAAUUGUGCAUGUGACACUGGAGGCAAACCUGAAAGAUAUUUCAGAUUAUCUGCAGAAAAUAGAGGAGGCGGCAACCCAUUAGCCGAAGCUCGAUGCAUUUCUAUCAUUUGUUGCCUCAAUUUCCGAAUCUCUUCAUUAGCUCCUACAUUUUCAUUCCCCAAACUCCCUAUCUGAUUAGUGACAACAAACUCGGUAUCCUUGUUGGCCAUAACUUUCUCUGUGACUUGGAGCAAUAUGGAGGACCAGCCAAAAUGCCACAAACCAACCACCAUAAACUAACUGGACAAGAGAUAGCAAAUGCGUUAGAGUUCAAUGAUUUUUCAAAACCUCUUCUUCUUUUUAUAUCUUGAAAAAAAAAUCACCGAACCCUAGAAGGGCGCCUACGUAUCUCACCCCCGAAAGAGGAGAAUCAGGUGUGCGUAGUUCGUGAAGUUUUGCCAAAAUGACCAAUUAAACUCUUUUUUCUUUCUUGAAACAAAGUGUCAAAAGAAUUGGCAAAAAUCUUUUUGCAUUUUUUUUAGGUUUAAAUCUCUAUACAAAAUGAAACCUGUGAUAACCAAAGAAAAAUCUUUUUGGAUUUUCGAUUUUUGAAUUUCAUGUGAAAAUGAAACUUGAACCUAUUAAAGAAAAAUAUUUUUGUAGUUUUCUUUUAAAGACAUAUAUGAAACGCCUACUCUAAAUGGAGAGUGAAGAAAUAUUUUUUGGAUUUUUUAAAUAAGAUCCUCGAACCAACAAUAGGCUGCCUACGUAUCUCACUUCCGAAAGAGGAGAAUCAGGGGUGCGUAGUUCGUCCAGAUUGGACAAUUAAUGAUUAAAUAAUAGGCUAGACCCUGACUUAAGAGACACGACCAAAGACAGACGAUGAACCAUGUCAAUAAAAUCUUUUGAGUUUUCAUUUUGAUUCUUCACAGAAAAAUGACAUCAACAACUAUGAAAGAAAAUUUUUUUUGGUAUUUUCGUUAUACGAAACGUAAAAAAUUUCUGACAUCUUUUUUUUUGCAGUUUUCUUUUAUAAACACAUCCUAUGAAUGAAAAAAAAUCUUUUUGAAGUUUUCGAAUUGUGAAUGCAUGCUAAACGAGACAAAGGAAAAUCUUUUUGAUGUUUUUGAGAAAAUAAGUGAGAAAGGUAAAAAAGUCCUUUUGAAUUUUGGAAUUGUGAAGAAUAAAAGCCAUAAAAAACUCUAAAAACUAUGAAACUCUUUUUUUCUUUUUUCUUAUUUUUUUUCAUUACCUACACACUUUACUUCUAACACAUGUUUUUCCCAAAUCAGUCCAUCAAAUGACCACGUUAUCCUCAAAGAUGCAAUAUUUAGCACAUAGGGAUGCUUUAGAGGUGAGUCUCCUACAAAGGACCAAGUGGGCCCCGCUAGGUCUCAAUAUGAUGCACAUAAGCAUGAACUAAAGGCUUACCUACGUUGGGGUUCACUAACAAGGUUGUUCGGGGGAGCGUAUGGUCGAUAGUGGCUACGACAGCUUUCCAUCUACUCCAUAACACCGAUGGCUCCCCCCCUAAAAUAAGGGUGACUCAACUAGAGGUCGUGUACAACACGUGUACUAUAGACUUGUUGCAGAAAGAAGGUCGGGGGUAGACACAUGAUGCCAGAUAUAAAAGCGGUAACACAUAGGAUAAAUACUGUACACAAAGAGCACGAAAACAUUCCAUAAUGAUAAAACAAUAACACAAUACAACACACAAAAAAAAAUAUUUAUACACUUAUAGUUCCAAACAAAGUCGAUACGACUCCAAAAUAAGCUCGAAUUCUGAACAAGUUCCCCAGCAAAGUCGACAGAGCUGUCACACCCCUUUUCGACUCCAAAAGAUUAUGGAUUAAGUUUCGAAAGGGUUUUUGUUAUUAAGUGACAAAAUGAAGAAUUUUUGUUUCGAAAAAGGAUUAUUUACAUUUUUUAUUCAGAGUCGCCACUUGAUAUAAAUUAGGUGUGCCAAGUCACCUUUGGAAAUCCGUUUUCAAAACAGUUUGACUCUAAAACUGAUCCGCAAAUAGAGAUUCCAGCUAAGGAAUUCUGUUGACCGAAGGGAAGGUGUUAGGCACCCCUCGAUCCCGUGGUUGAACCACGGUCGCUUGGUGAAGCAUAUCGGCUAAUUUGAAUACUAUGAAUGUAUAAACCAAACAAAACACACAAAUCAAACAAACAAACAAAUCAAAUGAAAUUCAAAAUCCAAAAUAAUGUCAGUUCGAUUUAAUACAGUCCAAAAAUAAAGAAGAUGCAAAAAUGUAAAUCCUAUUCUAAACUAAUCCUAGACUAUGCUUUACCCGACGCCUCGAGUCUUCAUCACGAUUAUCCUCCGCAAUCAUGAUACGUCGGGACAUUCCCCGGUGAAUAAACACAAAUAGCUCGGGGCAUUCCCCGGCCAAAUGGUACAUUUGUUCCAAAAGAAAUAAAACCAAGCCAUUCAACACAUGUCAAGCAUUCAAGAUUUCACAAUUCUUACAUUUGCCUACCCAACUCGGCUUAUGAUUCUAUCACGUUCAACAAUAUUCAUGCUGAUUCCGAAUUAAACAAAACAACAAUAAACCAAAAUUAAUCUAAAUUCACCUUUUUUAUCAAUUUCUCAAUUCCACCCCCAAAUUCCUUUUUCAAUACAAACCCAUAUUCAUAUUAUCAUCACCUACAAUUGAUAUCAAUUAUUAAAAAGCAAACAACAUCCAAUCAUCACCCAAAUAUCCAAACAAAUAGGACAAAGGCAUCGAAUCACAUCCACAAUCACAUCGAAAUUAAAAUAAAGAGAAAGAUGAGAAAAAUUGACCUCAAAUGAAGCUUUCGAACUCAAUAUUAUUCGAAUAAAGAGAAUCCACUCAAAUGAACCUCGAUGACGAAUCCAGUCCAACUACGAUAUAUUCGACCCCGACAAAAUCACAAAAAAAAAGAAGGCACGAACCCAUUUCCCUAUGCAUGAUUCCGCCUCAUCGUUCUCCGACGGGUUUUAACAGAAAAGGGGAAGGAAUAGGCUUUUUGGGUCGAAAAAUAAGGACGGGGGAAGUCAGUUUGUUGUUGUGACUUCGCUGGAGCUCCGGUAAGCUCUGGCAGUGACGAAAAUCAGAGAGUGGGUCACGUUUUCUGUUGCUUCAACGUUUUCCAGCGAGAAAUUCGCCGGAAACAGUCAGACUCAACGCCCUUUUCUCUCUGUUCUUUCUGAUAUUUUCGAUCUGCCUCCCUCUCUUUAUUCUCAGUUACGGUCUCUCUCUUUCUCCGAUUGAUUUCAGCUCACCAUCACCCUUCUCCCUCUCUCUUUGAUCUCACGAUUUCUCCCUUGCUCUAAUCUCUUGUUCUCUAUCUCCUUCGUCUCUCGUUUUCUCCACCCCGUGCGUAUGAGUGUGUUACUGUGUUUAUGGUAAGGAUCAGUGAUGGGAAUGAGUGGUGUGUGAAAAAAAUGGAAGGGAAUUUUGUGUGCUUCCCCUUCGUAUAUGGCAAUGGUGAUAGGUAUAUGCGAUAGUGAAUUAUGGAGAUGGAUGUUGAUGGUGUGGACCCUCCAGAGGUAAAGAAAAUCUCGUAAGGUGUAUGUUCUUCUCCUCAAUUGUGUUAACUGUCAAGAGGAAAAAGAAAAAAUUGAAAUCUUUUUUCCCAGUGGGGCCCUUGUGAGUGGAAAAAAUGUAUAUUGUAUACUUUUUUGAGUGAUGCCGACCUUUACGGUGAGUGUAGUGCAUUCCAUUUUUGGAUGGUAGGUGAUGAAACAAUUCCAUGGGCCCCACCUCUAUUUGUUAUCUUGUGAAUUGAUUUCAAAGUGAAUAAAAUGUGAGGGGUAAGGGUUACGUGGUUGGGGGUGGUGAGGUGUUGUUAAUUUUUUAGGGAAUUUGUUAUUUUUUGUAUUUUUGUAGGGUAUGAUCACAUAGAUGAAGAUACGUGGUAAAAAUGGGGAGAUUGAGU